rnacentral:rRNA from 1 species
GACGAAGGGGGCUAGCGUUGUUCGGAAUUACUGGGCGUAAAGCGCGUGUAGGCGGUUGUCCAAGUUGGAUGUGAAAGCCUUGAGCUCAACUCAAGAAAUGCAUUCAGGACUGGAUGACUAGAGGACCGGAGAGGAUAGUGGAAUUCCCAGUGUAGUGGUGAAAUACGUAGAGAUUGGGAAGAACACCAGUGGCGAAGGCGGCUAUCUGGACGGUUUCUGACGCUAAGACGCGAAAGCGUGGGGAGCAAACGGG